GCUCCAAUAGCGUAUAUUAAAGUUGUUGCAGUUAAAAAGCUCGUAGUUGAAUUUCUGGUGGGGACGGCGGUCCGCCGCCUUGUGUGGUGUGUACUUGUGUGUUCCCCGCCAUACUUGUGGAGUGUGUAGGCGGUCCUUAAUCUGGGUUGCUUGCAUGUGUCUCUGCAUCGAUUACUGUGAACAAUUAGAGUGUUUAAGCA
rnacentral:rRNA from 1 species